UAAGACGUAGGGUGCGAGCGUUGUCCGGAUUUAUUGGGCGUAAAGAGCUCGUAGGCGGCUCGUCGCGUCGACUGUGAAAACCUGGGGCUUAACCCUGGGCCUGCAGUCGAUACGGGCGGGCUAGAGUUCGGUAGGGGAGACUGGAAUUCCUGGUGUAGCGGUGAAAUGCGCAGAUAUCAGGAGGAACACCGGUGGCGAAGGCGGGUCUCUGGGCCGAUACUGACGCUGAGGAGCGAAAGCGUGGGGAGCGAACAGGAUUAGAUACCCUGGUAGUCCACGCUGUAAACGGUGGGUGCUAGGUGUGGGGACCUCUCCAGGUCUCCGUGCCGCAGCUAACGCAUUAAGCACCCCGCCUGGGGAGUACGGCCGCAAGGCUA
rnacentral:rRNA from 1 species